GACGAACGCUGGCGGCGUGCUUAACACAUGCAAGUCGAACGGAAAGGCCCUGCUUUUGUGGGGUGCUCGAGUGGCGAACGGGUGGGUAACAAGUGAGUUAACUGCCCUUGACUUUGGGAUAACUUCAGGAAACUGGGGCUAAUACCGGAUAGGAGCUCCUGCUGCCUGGUGGGGGUUGGAAAGGUUCGGCGGUUGGGGAUGGACUCGCGGCUUAUCAGCUUGUUGGUGGGGUAGUGGCUUACCAAGGCUUUGACGGGUAGCCGGCCUGAGAGGGUGACCGGCCACAUUGGGACUGAGAUACGGCCCAGACUCCUACGGGAGGCAGCAGUGGGGAAUAUUGCACAAUGGGCGGAAGCCUGAUGCAGCAACGCCGCGUGCGGGAUGACGGCCUUCGGGUUGUAAACCGCUUUCGCCUGUGACGAAGCGUGAGUGACGGUAAUGGGUAAAGAAGCACCGGCUAACUACGUG
rnacentral:rRNA from 1 species